rnacentral:rRNA from 1 species
AGUCGAACGGGAAGAGAUGAAGAGCUUGCUCUUUAUCGAAUCCAGUGGCAAACGGGUGAGUAACACGUAAACAACCUGCCUUCAGGAUGGGGACAACAGACGGAAACGACUGCUAAUACCGAAUACGUUCCACGGGCCGCAUGACCUGUGGAAGAAAGGGUAGCCUCUACCUGUAAGCUAUCGCCUGAAGAGGGGUUUGCGUCUGAUUAGGCAGUUGGUGGGGUAACGGCCCACCAAACCAACGAUCAGUAGCCGGUCUGAGAGGAUGAACGGCCACACUGGAACUGAGACACGGUCCAGACUCCUACGGGAGGCAGCAGUGGGGAAUCUUCCGCAAUGGACGAAAGUCUGACGGAGCAACGCCGCGUGAGUGAAGACGGCCUUCGGGUUGUAAAGCUCUGUGAUCCGGGACGAAAGAGCCUGAGGUGAAUAGCCUAAGGAAGUGACGGUACCGGAAAAGCAAGCCACGGCUAACUACGUGCCAGCAGCCGCGGUAAUACGUAGGUGGCAAGCGUUGUCCGGAAUUAUUGGGCGUAAAGCGCGCGCAGGCGGCUUCCUAAGUCCAUCUUAAAAGUGCGGGGCUUAACCCCGUGAUGGGAUGGAAACUGGGAAGCUGGAGUAUCGGAGAGGAAAGUGGAAUUCCUAGUGUAGCGGUGAAAUGCGUAGAGAUUAGGAAGAACACCGGUGGCGAAGGCGACUUUCUGGACGAAAACUGACGCUGAGGCGCGAAAGCGUGGGGAGCAAACAGGAUUAGAUACCCUGGUAGUCC